GAGAAACACACGGGUUCCUGAAGGGACGUGGGAGGAUGUGAUCUGUGUCCUAUCUGGAAUAUCAAGGGGAUGAAGGCAAUGGAAGUAGCUACCACUUGGUGAACUAGACAAACUCUUAAUGUAAAACCACCAUCAGAGCCACCCUGGAGUUAUGGCAAGGCCAUCACAGUCUCCUCCAAAGGCCACUGAUAAGGAACUGGGAACCUCCCUCCAUAGAAUGCUAAAUGGCUGGUGUGAACUUGGUUAAGGAUCUAUAAUUCUUCUUAUGAAGAAGAGAACCAUCUUAAAACCAUGAGGUGACAUGCAUGAGGACAAAGACUUCCUGCUUGUUCUUGAGCCACUGAGGGCACCUCUGAAUUGCUGUACCACCCAGAAAAUGCUAUCCCUGAACUUCUUGUUGACUGAGACAAAUAAACCCCUUAUUUAAACCAC